rnacentral:rRNA from 1 species
UACGUAGGGUGCAAGCGUUGUCCGGAAUUAUUGGGCGUAAAGAGCUCGUAGGCGGUCUGUCGCGUCUGCUGUGAAAACUCAGGGCUUAACCCUGAGCUUGCAGUGGGUACGGGCAGACUAGAGUGCGGUAGGGGAGACUGGAAUUCCUGGUGUAGCGGUGAAAUGCGCAGAUAUCAGGAGGAACACCGGUGGCGAAGGCGACAUCCUGGACCGGUAUUGACGCUGAGGCGCGAAAGCCAGGGGAGCAAACGGG